UUACGGCCAUAUCACAUUGAAACACCGGUUCUCGUACCGAAGUUAAGCAACGUCUAGCUUGGUUAGUACCUAGAUGGGUUACCGCUUGGGGAUAUCAGGUGUUGUAUG